CCUUUCGUUCAUCCCAACUUCCGCCGGAAGCGACUCGGGCAGUUGUUGUUCUCUUGUAAUUGGGCUCUGGUUUUGUGGUAGUUCGUCCUCUACCCCCUCCCCUAGCGGGUGAGGUUACAGCGACGGGCUGGAGAGGCAAAGUGGAGUUAAGACACUGGGAGCGAGAUGGACAUCCUGAAGUCAGAGAUUCUGCGGAAGCGGCAGCUGGUGGAGGACAGGAACCUGCUGGUGGAAAAUAAAAAGUACUUCAAGCGGAGUGAACUUGCAAAAAAGGAAGAGGAAGCUUAUUUUGAAAGAUGUGGCUACAAGACGCUUGGCUGAGGUGAUCUCUCACAUUGUCUCGUUGAUAAUGCGUGCGAAGAGCUGAAGUCUUUAAGGUGGAGAAGCCGUUCCAGUUGUUUUCAAAGCAGACAUAGUUUAAUUCUUGGCUGGAAGCUAACAGAUUCCAUCAAAACAUCCUGGAUCUUAC
rnacentral:lncRNA from 1 species